rnacentral:rRNA from 2 species
UUAAUUUGAGAGUUUGAUCCUGGCUCAGGACGAACGCUGGCGGCGUGCCUAAUACAUGCAAGUCGAACGAACUCUGGUAUUGAUUGGUGCUUGCAUCAUGAUUUACAUUUGAGUGAGUGGCGAACUGGUGAGUAACACGUGGGAAACCUGCCCAGAAGCCUGGGAUAACACCUGGAAACAGAUGCUAAUACCGGAUAACAACACUAGACGCAUGUCUAGAGUUUAAAAGAUGGUUCUGCUAUCACUUUUGGAUGGUCCCGCGGCGUAUUAGCUAGAUGGUGGGGUAACGGCUCACCAUGGCAAUGAUACGUAGCCGACCUGAGAGGGUAAUCGGCCACAUUGGGACUGAGACACGGCCCAAACUCCUACGGGAGGCAGCAGUAGGGAAUCUUCCACAAUGGACGAAAGUCUGAUGGAGCAACGCCGCGUGAGUGAAGAAGGGUUUCGGCUCGUAAAACUCUGUUGUUAAAGAAGAACAUAUCUGAGAGUAACUGUUCAGGUAUUGACGGUAUUUAACCAGAAAGCCACGGCUAACUACGUGCCAGCAGCCGCGGUAAUACGUAGGUGGCAAGCGUUGUCCGGAUUUAUUGGGCGUAAAGCGAGCGCAGGCGGUUUUUUAAGUCUGAUGUGAAAGCCUUCGGCUCAACCGAAGAAGUGCAUCGGAAACUGGGAAACUUGAGUGCAGAAGAGGACAGUGGAACUCCAUGUGUAGCGGUGAAAUGCGUAGAUAUAUGGAAGAACACCAGUGGCGAAGGCGGCUGUCUGGUCUGUAACUGACGCUGAGGCUCGAAAGUAUGGGUAGCAAACAGGAUUAGAUACCCUGGUAGUCCAUACCGUAAACGAUGAAUGCUAAGUGUUGGAGGGUUUCCGCCCUUCAGUGCUGCAGCUAACGCAUUAAGCAUUCCGCCUGGGGAGUACGGCCGCAAGGCUGAAACUCAAAGGAAUUGACGGGGGCCCGCACAAGCGGUGGAGCAUGUGGUUUAAUUCGAAGCUACGCGAAGAACCUUACCAGGUCUUGACAUACUAUGCAAAUCUAAGAGAUUAGACGUUCCCUUCGGGGACAUGGAUACAGGUGGUGCAUGGUUGUCGUCAGCUCGUGUCGUGAGAUGUUGGGUUAAGUCCCGCAACGAGCGCAACCCUUAUUAUCAGUUGCCAGCAUUAAGUUGGGCACUCUGGUGAGACUGCCGGUGACAAACCGGAGGAAGGUGGGGAUGACGUCAAAUCAUCAUGCCCCUUAUGACCUGGGCUACACACGUGCUACAAUGGAUGGUACAACGAGUUGCGAACUCGCGAGAGUAAGCUAAUCUCUUAAAGCCAUUCUCAGUUCGGAUUGUAGGCUGCAACUCGCCUACAUGAAGUCGGAAUCGCUAGUAAUCGCGGAUCAGCAUGCCGCGGUGAAUACGUUCCCGGGCCUUGUACACACCGCCCGUCACACCAUGAGAGUUUGUAACACCCAAAGUCGGUGGGGUAACCUUUUAGGAACCAGCCGCCUAAGGUGGGACAGAUGAUUAGGGUGAAGUCGUAACAAGGUAGCCGUAGGAGAACCUGCGGCUGGAUCACCUCCUUUCUAAGGAA